GUGCAAGCGUUAAUCGGAAUUACUGGGCGUAAAGCGUGCGCAGGCGGUUUUGUAAGUCUGUCGUGAAAGCCCCGGGCUCAACCUGGGAAUUGCGAUGGAGACUGCAAGGCUUGAAUCUGGCAGAGGGGGGUAGAAUUCCACGUGUAGCAGUGAAAUGCGUAGAGAUGUGGAGGAACACCGAUGGCGAAGGCAGCCCCCUGGGUCAAGAUUGACGCUCAUGCACGAAAGCGUGGGGAGCAAACAGG
rnacentral:rRNA from 1 species